rnacentral:lncRNA from 1 species
CGACCAGGAGGGGGAAAGAAAGGGUGAAACCCUACUUGUUCAAUCAAGGUCAAAAUUCAGCAAAUUAAUGGUGGUUCUUGACACAAAUUGAAUGCAUGAGACUGGAUACAACUUAAUCUAAGUAUAUUGAUCAUAAGGUAAGUUUCAAUUUAUGAUUUGAUGAUCUUAAUAGGAAUCACAUUAGCAAGGACUCGAAAACGGAAGGUUAACGGGUCAAGCAGAGGCGAGGAAACAAGCGUGAACACUAACGCUCGAGGUAAGUGACUUUCGAUUCACUUCUUAGUAUACAUAUAGAGUUUUCUUGUUAUGGUUGAAUGGGAUGAUUGAUGUAUAUAAAAUCGCCGACAAGUAGGUAUGUAUGAAUGCAUUUAGGAAAAUUACGUAAGUACAUGCACGUGUGAGCUAAGGUAUGCACGGGUGUAGUUAUGAUUCAUUUUAUGAAUGUAUGUAA